rnacentral:rRNA from 1 species
UACGGAGGGUGCAAGCGUUAUCCGGAUUCACUGGGUUUAAAGGGUGCGUAGGUGGGUUUGUAAGUCAGUGGUGAAAUCUCCGUGCUUAACAUGGAAACUGCCAUUGAUACUAUAGAUCUUGAAUUUUCUGGAGGAUAGCGGAAUAUGUCAUGUAGCGGUGAAAUGCUUAGAUAUGACAUAGAACACCAAUUGCGAAGGCAGCUCGUUACGCGAAUAUUGACACUGAUGCACGAAAGCGUGGGGAGCAAACAGG